rnacentral:rRNA from 1 species
CAACUUUCAGCAACGGAUCUCUUGGCUCUCGCAUCGAUGAAGAACGCAGCGAAAUGCGAUAAGUAAUGUGAAUUGCAGAAUUCAGUGAAUCAUCGAAUCUUUGAACGCACCUUGCACUCCUUGGUAUUCUGAGGAGUAUGCCUGUUUGAGUGUCAUG